CUUUCGGGGGCGGUGGAGGCGCCGGUGAAAUACCACCCUGAUGCGGCUGGGGGCCUAACCCAAGGGAUUGGGGACAGCGCUUGGCGGGCAGUUUGACUGGGGCGGUCGCCUCCUAAAAGGUAACGGAGGCGCCCAAAGGUUCCCUCAGGCGGGACGGAAAUCCGCCGGAGAGCGCAAGGGUAGAAGGGAGCCUGACUGUGAGGCCUGCAAGCCGAGCAGGGGCGAAAGCCGGGCCUAGUGAACCGGUGGUCCCGUGUGGAAGGGCCAUCGAUCAACGGAUAAAAGUUACCCCGGGGAUAACAGGCUGAUCUCCCCCGAGCGUCCACAGCGGCGGGGAGGUUUGGCACCUCGAUGUCGGC
rnacentral:rRNA from 1 species